CUACAGACUUGAUUGUAUUGAGCCUUGGUAUGGAAACCUGCUAAGUGGUAACUUCCAAAUUCAGAGAAACCCUGGAAUGAAAAAUGGGCAAUCCUGAGCCAAAUCCCUUUUUUGAAAAACAAGUGGUUCUCAAACUAGAACCCAAAGGAAAAGGAUAGGUGCAGAGACUCAAUGGAAGCUGUUCUAACGAAUCGAAGUAAUAACGGUUAAUCACAGAACCCAUAUUAUAAUAUAGGUUCUUUAUUUUAUUUUUAGAAUAAAAUUAGG
rnacentral:ncRNA from 1 species